rnacentral:rRNA from 12 species
AACAGCGGCCCUACUGUCCUGCGAGUGCCUGAUCCUGUCAGAUCUCAGAAAGUAGGCAGGGCCGGACCUUGGUAGUACUUUGAUGGGAGACUGCCUUGAAAGACCAGGAGUUGCUAGGC